rnacentral:sRNA from 1 species
GAGAUAAGAAUAAAAGCGCUUACAUGAAAAGGAGAUGUUUUAAGAUGGGAGAAAUCAUUUGCCAAACAUGUGACAACACUAUUGAACAUUUUGAAGAUGAAAAAGUAACGAAGUUAUAUUCCAAUAAAUGCCCGAACUGCUCAAGCACAAACGAAAAAAAAUAGGGAAGAUAAAGGACCCGGCAUACUAAAAGCCGGGUCCUUUGAU